GCCGUUUCCUUGUUCCAUUUUAAUGAAGAGGAAAAGCCCCUACUCACUGGAUUCCAUAAAUGAUAUGUUUCAGAUUCCAAAUGGAAGCACAUUUUUGCCAAGAAUUUUCCUCAUAACAUCUUAAAAAGUCUACACAUUUAAAGUUUGGUGCUUGUACAGGGAAACUGGAGAGUCUG